rnacentral:rRNA from 1 species
GGAGGAAAGUAGGGGAUCGAAAGACCUUAUGCUUUUGGAGCGGCCGAUGUCUGAUUAGCUAGUUGGUAAGGUAAUGGCUUACCAAGGCAACGAUCAGUAGUUGGUCUGAGAGGACGACCAGCCACACUGGGACUGAGACACGGCCCAGACUCCUACGGGAGGCAGCAGUGGGGAAUUUUGGACAAUGGGCGCAAGCCUGAUCCAGCAAUGCCGCGUGAGUGAAGAAGGCCUUCGGGUUGUAAAGCUCUUUCAGUUGAGAAGAAAAGAUUGUAACUAAUAAUUGCAAUCCAUGACGGUAUCGACAGAAGAAGCACCGGCUAACUACGUGCCAGCAGCCGCGGUAAUACGUAGGGUGCGAGCGUUAAUCGGAAUUACUGGGCGUAAAGGGUGCGCAGGCGGUUUUGUAAGUCAGAUGUGAAAUCCCCGGGCUCAACCUGGGAACUGCGUUUGAAACUACAAGGCUAG